CCUACGGGAGGCAGCAGUGAGGAAUAUUGGUCAAUGGUCGGGAGACUGAACCAGCCAAGCCGCGUGAGGGAUGAAGGUACAGAGUAUCGUAAACCUCUUUUGUCAGGGAACAAAGGCGGGGACGUGUCCCCGGAUGAGUGUACCUGAAGAAAAAGCAUCGGCUAACUCCGUGCCAGCAGCCGCGGUAAUACGGAGGAUGCGAGCGUUAUCCGGAUUUAUUGGGUUUAAAGGGUGCACAGGCGGACUGUUAAGUCAGCGGUAAAAGCCCGGGGCUCAACCCCGGCCCGCCGUUGAAACUGGCAGUCUCGAGUUGGAGAGAAGUAUGCGGAAUGCGCGGUGUAGCGGUGAAAUGCAUAGAUAUCGCGCAGAACUCCGAUUGCGAAGGCAGCAUGCCGGCUCCACACUGACGCUGAGGCACGAAAGCGUGGGUAUCGAACAGGAUUAGAUACCCUUGUAGUC
rnacentral:rRNA from 1 species